UAUUUACUUCAAACAUGGAUAAUGCUAUAGAUUUAUUUUUAUUUAUUUAGAUAUCCUUUGAAUUGUUUACACUCAAAGGAUAUAUAUUUUUCUUAAGAAAAAUAAUUUUGUAGAAUUUCGCCAUGAUAUCUCGUGUGCCUAUUGAGGGAAACACAUGUAACCUUGAGUGUCUCAAGGAUAAUCCAGUAAAGACCUUUGACGGCCCCGUGAGAAUAGUGCUUGUGAAUAUCCCGAAAAGAGAAUACUGUGCGCGCAUCUGGUGGGCUGGGUUAAUUGUAUUGGCAUACAUUUUAAUUGGUUUUUAUACUACUGCCAUGGUAUUGUAUGCAUCUUCAUGGAAACAAAUGCACUUUGAAACUAAUUUACAUAUCGUAUUUUGCACUUUGGGGUUUCAACUGCUGAUGCCAGCAGGGAUGUUCAUGACGACGACGUUGCAUGGCCCAUCGGUUCCAAUGAAGCCGUGCUUUAGAAAGUUCAAUCAUAUAUUACUUGAGGCUACAGCCGCCACAUUGAACAUAGUUGGUGUUUUACUCCUAUUUUAUUCCUUGUCGCACCGAUGGCCGGACAUAAUAAACGAUACGUCGCAUUGUUUAUUUGGUUUCAUGGCGCUCGUGUUUAUGAUAAUAACAAUUUUAUUGGGUCCGUGUGCGUUUAAUGUGGACUGCUCAACUUGCUGUCGGAAUCUCCACGCUUUUUUUGGAAUAUUAGCAUUCGGUUUCUCAUCAGCAGCCUUCAUAUUAUCUCUUUACUUACCAGAUACAUCAUUUUCAAAAUGGAUGGCACAAGAAGAUCUUAAAACGUUUAUGGCCUUGUUUUGUGGAAUUGCUUCCCUUAUUGUAAUCGCUUACUCGACUUUGAAAUUAUUAUGCCGUUAUGAGCGCUUUUGUGAUAAUAGGUGUUGACAAUAAUAAAAGGCAAUUAAAGUUUGCUCUUUAGUUUUGAA